rnacentral:SRP_RNA from 1 species
GCAGGAGAUAGACUGGAGUGCUCGCCCUACUCUGUAAGCGCAAACGGGCGUUAUGGUGUGGUCGAAGCCUGAGAGCGCUGUUAAGAUCGCGGGAAAGUCUGGAUUUUCAACUGAGAAGCCUCGUCCCGUAGAGCUGAUCUUAUAGUGAACCAUGCGAGACCCGGAAGGGAGCAGCAUUAAUCUAUAUCUUUAGCGUUUAUGGGGUCGCGAAGUGGAGAAGAAUAUCUGGAUCAACUUUUCAGCAUUUUGGCAGUCAUUAAAGGCGCUCUCCUGC